UACGUAGGGGGCUAGCGUUGUCCGGAAUCAUUGGGCGUAAAGCGCGCGUAGGCGGCCAGAUAAGUCCGGUGUGAAAGUCACAGGCUCAACCUGUGAAUGCCGCUGGAAACUGUCUGGCUAGAGUCCGGAAGGGGCGAGUGGAAUUCCUGGUGUAGCGGUGAAAUGCGCAGAUAUCAGGAGGAACACCAAUGCGAAGGCAGCUCUCUGGGACGGUACUGACGCUGAGACGCGAAAGCGUGGGGAGCGAACAGG
rnacentral:rRNA from 1 species